rnacentral:lncRNA from 1 species
AGACCCGAAAAACUCGUGUCUGGCAGAGUAGUGGAACGUGCCCCCUCCAAAAGCCACAAACGAGUAUAAAGGGAGGGGGCACUGUAGCAACCUGGGGGAGGAGCCAAGAAUCAAAGAACAGACAAUCAAAAAAUUCUUAGGAAUCCCUAGCAACCCAAAAACACAAAGAACCAAAAUCAAAAGCCCUAAGUUUUCUAGCAGCCAUAACCACAAAUCCUCAACCAAAAAAUCAAAAAAUAUGUACAAUGAGAGAGGGAGAAUAGUUGGGGCUUUUGGGUGAUUUUUUGGCUCAUUUUAGGGGGAUUUUUAGUUAUUUUUUUAAGGGAGAUUUUUGGGGUUUUGUGCGGCUAUUUUGGGG